CCUACGGGUGGCAGCAGUGAGGAAUAUUGGUCAAUGGGCUUACGCCUGAACCAGCGAAGUCGCGUGAGGGAAGACUGCCCUAUGGGUUGUAAACCUCUUUUGUCAGGGAGCAAUUGGCGCUACGUGUAGCGUUAUCGAGAGUACCUGAAGAAAAAGCAUCGGCUAACUCCGUGCAGGCAGCCGCGGUAAUACGGAGGAUGCGAGCGUUAUCCGGAUUUAUUGGGUUUAAAGGGUGCGUAGGCGGAAUGCCAAGUCAGCGGGAAAAUCGCGGGGCUCAACCUCGGUCCGCCGUUGAAACUGGGGUUCUAGAGUGGGCGAGAAGUAUGCGGAAUGCGUGGUGUAGCGGUGAAAUGCAUAGAUAUUACGCAGAACUCCGAUUGCGAAGGCAGCAUACCGGCGCCCAACUGACGCUGAAGCACGAAAGCGUGGGUAUCGAACAGGAUUAGAUACCCUUGUAGUC
rnacentral:rRNA from 1 species